rnacentral:rRNA from 1 species
GACGAACGCUGGCGGCGUGCUUAACACAUGCAAGUCGAACGAUGAAGCCUAGCUUGCUAGGUGGAUUAGUGGCGAACGGGUGAGUAAUACGUGAGUAACCUACCUUUAACUCUGGGAUAAGCCUGGGAAACUGGGUCUAAUACCGGAUACGACCAAUCUCCGCAUGGGGUGUUGGUGGAAAGCGUUAUGUAGUGGUUAUAGAUGGGCCCACGGCCUAUCAGCUUGUUGGUGAGGUAACGGCUCACCAAGGCGACGACGGGUAGCCGGCCUGAGAGGGUGACCGGCCACACUGGGACUGAGACACGGCCCAGACUCCUACGGGAGGCAGCAGUGGGGAAUAUUGCACAAUGGGCGCAAGCCUGAUGCAGCGACGCCGCGUGAGGGAUGACGGCCUUCAGGUUGUAAACCUCUGUUAGCAUGGAAGAAGAGAGAUUGACGGUACCUGCAGAGAAAGCGCCGGCUAACUACGUGCCAGCAUCCGCGGUAAUACGUAGGGCGCGAGCGUUGUCUGGAAUUAUUGGGCGUAUAGAGCUUGUAGCGGUUUGUCGCGUCUGCUGUGAAAGGCCGGAGCUUAACUCCGUGUAUUGCAGUGGGAACGGGCAGACUAGAGUGCAGUAAGGGAGACUGGAAUUCCUGGUGUAGCGGUGGAAUGCGCAGAUAUCAGGAGGAACACCGAUGGCGAAGGCAGGUCUCUGGGCUGUAACUGACGCUGAGAAGCGAAAGCAUGGGGAGCGAACAGGAUUAGAUACCCUGGUAGUCCAUGCCGUAAACGUUGGGCACUAGGUGUGGGGGACAUUCCACGUUUUCCGCGCCGUAGCUAACGCAUUAAGUGCCCCACCUGGGGAGUACGGCCGCAAGGCUAAAACUCAAAGAAAUUGACGGGGGCCCGCACAAGCGGCGGAGCAUGCGGAUUAAUUCGAUGCAACGCGAAGAACCUUACCAAGGCUUGACAUAUACUGGACCGCAUCAGAGAUGGUGUUUCCCUUCGGGGCUGGUAUACAGGUGGUGCAUGGUUGUCGUCAGCUCGUGUCGUGAGAUGUUGGGUUAAGUCCCGCAACGAGCGCAACCCUCGUUCUAUGUUGCCAGCACGUUAUGGUGGGGACUCAUAGGAGACUGCCGGGGUCAACUCGGAGGAAGGUGGGGAUGACGUCAAAUCAUCAUGCCCCUUAUGUCUUGGGCUUCACGCAUGCUACAAUGGCCGGUACAGAGGGUUGCGAUACUGUGAGGUGGAGCUAAUCCCUAAAAGCCGGUCUCAGUUCGGAUUGGGGUCUGCAACUCGACCCCAUGAAGUCGGAGUCGCUAGUAAUCGCAGAUCAGCAACGCUGCGGUGAAUACGUUCCCGGGCCU